rnacentral:rRNA from 1 species
GAUGAACGCUGGCGGCGUGCUUAACACAUGCAAGUCGAACGGAAAGGCCCUGCGUUUGUGUGUUGCUCGAGUGGCGAAGGGGUGAGUAACACGUGAGUAACCUGCCCUUGACUUUGGGAUAACUUCAGGAAACUGGGGCGAAUACCGGAUAGGAUCUUCUGCUGCGUGGUGGGGGUUGGUAAGUGUCGGCGGUUGGGGAUGGACUCGCUGGUUAUGAGCUUGUUUGUGGGGUAGGUACGUACCAGGGUUUGGACGGGUAGCCUGCAUGAGAGGGUGACCGGGCACAAUAGGACUGAGGGACGGACCAGUCGCCAACGUGAGGCAGCAGUCGGAAACCUUGCACAGUAGGCCGACGCGUGAGACGAAAACGCCGCGAGCGGGAUACCGGCCUUCGGGUUGUGAACCGCUUUCGCCUGUGACGAAGCGUGCGUGACGGUAACGAGUAAAGAAGCACCGGCUAACUACGUG